rnacentral:rRNA from 1 species
GAAACCCGGUGAUCUAGCCAUGGGCAGGUUGAAGGUUGGGUAACACUAACUGGAGGACCGAACCGACUAAUGUUGAAAAAUUAGCGGAUGACUUGUGGCUGGGGGUGAAAGGCCAAUCAAACCGGGAGAUAGCUGGUUCUCCCCGAAAGCUAUUUAGGUAGCGCCUCGUGAAUUCAUCUCCGGGGGUAGAGCACUGUUUCGGCAAGGGGGUCAUCCCGACUUACCAACCCGAUGCAAACUGCGAAUACCGGAGAAUGUUAUCACGGGAGACACACGGCGGGUGCUAACGUCCGUCGUGAAGAGGGAAACAACCCAGACCGCCAGCUAAGGUCCCAAAGUCAUGGUUAAGUGGGAAACGAUGUGGGAAGGCCCAGACAGCCAGGAUGUUGGCUUAGAAGCAGCCAUCAUUUAAAGAAAGCGUAAUAGCUCACUGGUCGAGUCGGCCUGCGCGGAAGAUGUAACGGGGCUAAACCAUGCACCGAAGCUGCGGCAGCGACACUAUGUGUUGUUGGGUAGGGGAGCGUUCUGUAAGCCUGUGAAGGUGGCCUGUGAGGGUUGCUGGAGGUAUCAGAAGUGCGAAUGCUGACAUAAGUAACGAUAAAGCGGGUGAAAAGCCCGCUCGCCGGAAGACCAAGGGUUCCUGUCCAACGUUAAUCGGGGCAGGGUGAGUCGACCCCUAAGGCGAGGCCGAAAGGCGUAGUCGAUGGGAAACAGGUUAAUAUUCCUGUACUUGGUGUUACUGCGAAGGGGGGACGGAGAAGGCUAUGUUGGCCGGGCGACGGUUGUCCCGGUUUAAGCGUGUAGGCUGGUUUUCCAGGCAAAUCCGGAAAACCAAGGCUGAGGCGUGAUGACGAGGCACUACGGUGCUGAAGCGACAAAUGCCCUGCUUCCAGGAAAAGCCUCUAAGCAUCAGGUAACAUCAAAUCGUACCCCAAACCGACACAGGUGGUCAGGUAGAGAAUACCAAGGCGCUUGAGAGAACUCGGGUGAAGGAACUAGGCAAAAUGGUGCCGUAACUUCGGGAGAAGGCACGCUGAUAUGUAGGUGAAGCGACUUGCUCGUGGAGCUGAAAUCAGUCGAAGAUACCAGCUGGCUGCAACUGUUUAUUAAAAACACAGCACUGUGCAAACACGAAAGUGGACGUAUACGGUGUGACGCCUGCCCGGUGCCGGAAGGUUAAUUGAUGGGGUUAGCGG